rnacentral:lncRNA from 1 species
AUAAAGGGCACAAUUGAUUAUUUAUUUAUACGGUCGGGGCUCUAUGGCUGUUGCUCUGCUUCAUCCUUUUUUUUGAUGUUUAUAAGUAUUACACCAUUUUCAAGCGUUACUUAUCGAGGUGGGAUCGAUCUUGUUAAUUGGUUUUGUCCAUUUACUGCAGUUGGAAUAUAUUGUCAAUGCUUCUGCAAUUCUCCCUCUUUUUGGGUCCUGUUCUCUUUGUAAUAUCUUACUUCCACACCAGUCUAUGUCUAAGUUUGUUGUACUCGCUCGUUGUACUAAGGCCACAGUCAUCUUUUUGUAAGCCAUAUCAUUCUUGUGUUCUUGUAAUCGCUUUCUUGAUAACCGGGAUGUGUAACCUAUAUAAUUUUCAUUCGUAUCUGUCUUGUUGUCGUAGAACAGAAUUUGAUAUAUUCCGGGGUAAUAAUCGUCUUUAAUCCUGUCCUUUCAUUUGUAAUGCAGUUGAAUAGUGUGUUUCUUCUAUUGAAUAGGAUUUUAUAACCUGAAAAUUCUUUC